UACGUAGGGGGCAAGCGUUGUCCGGAUUUAUUGGGCGUAAAGAGCGUGUAGGCGGCCAGGGAGGUCCGUUGUGAAAACUGGAGGCUCAACCUCCAGCUGUCGACGGAAACCGUGUGGCUAGAGUCCGGAAGAGGAGAGUGGAAUUCCUGGUGUAGCGGUGAAAUGCGCAGAUAUCAGGAAGAACACCAAUGGCGAAGGCAGCUCUCUGGGACGGUACUGACGCUGAGACGCGAAAGCGUGGGGAGCGAACAGG
rnacentral:rRNA from 1 species